rnacentral:rRNA from 1 species
GUGAGGAAUAUUGCGCAAUGGACGAAAGUCUGACGCAGCCAUGCCGCGUGAAGGAUUGACGGCCCUAUGGGUUGUAAACUUCUUUUGUAUAGGAAUAAACCCUCGUUCGUGAACGAGGCUGAAGGUACUAUAAGAAUAAGCACCGGCUAACUCCGUGCCAGCAGCCGCGGUAAUACGGAGGGUGCAAGCGUUAUCCGGAUUUAUUGGGUUUAAAGGGUCCGUAGGCGGAUCGUUAAGUCAUUGGUGAAAUCCUACCGCUCAACGGUAGAACUGCCAUUGAUACUGGCGAUCUUGAGUAUGUAUGAAGUUGGCGGAAUGUGUGGUGUAGCGGUGAAAUGCUUAGAUAUCACACAGAACACCGAUUGCGAAGGCAGCUGACUAAUACACAACUGACGCUGAGGGACGAAAGUGUGGGGAUCAAACAGGAUUAGAUACCCGGGUAGUCC